CAAUUGUUCUUUAGCCCAGAAAGAUAGUGUAUAUAUCUCUAGAUUAUGGACUAAAGGAUGUUGUUUUAUUUUUAUAUUUUAUAAGCUGAACUAGAGUGUAGUUUAGUAAACCUUGUGUCAUGUAGAGACAUUGGACAAGAGAUUAGCUUUGUCGUUGUUCACGAUUUUAAUACCAUUGUGGUUUUGUUCAUUUGUACAGUGUUGGAGAUAUUACAAGUAGAAGUGUCUCAAAUGUUGAGGAGGCACACAAGAGACUGCAAAGUUUCCUGGGAAGUAUUCAAAUCUCUGGGGUUUGUUUUCAAGUUUUAGCAUUUCCCUUCAACUCCUUGGGUUAAUUCUUGAUUUAGUGCUGUUGCAGGCAAGAUAGCUUUAAAAUUGCAGUUGAUACGGAUUUACCCGAUCUGACAUUUAUUGACCCAGUCAAUCGUCUUGAAAAACAAAACAAAACAAGACGUUAGGAUGACUCAUGACAACUGACUCAGAGACAAGAAUACAAUUUCAUUGACUUAAGGUCAGUGUUAGUGUGGCUUCAAACCCUGUAUAUUGACUACGACUGUAUCCUGAAGAAGAUAGAGAGUUGGUAAUAGUCAAGACGUGAGGAACUACAGAUUGUUGCCUGAGAAGAAGUUAAUAUGUUGAGACAAGUACAACCGUAACUUCUAACAGAUCAUUGAGCUACUACAUUAGCAAUAAGAGUAUAUAAGUAUCAUAUUCUGUUCUCCAUUCAAGUAUACACAUUUUAUUAGUAUUUUUUUUAGAACUGUUUGAAUUAAUUCAUAUUGCUAUUUUAUAUAGUAUGUUUACAUUUCAUAGAUUUUAAUUUCAUGUAAAUAAAUUCGUGUUACGUUUAUAGAAACAUCCCUGGAUGUCAGUUGUCAUUACGAUUAGUUUCUAUGUUCUGACACAUUCAAAAACAUAACGUGUUUUAUUGUUCACAUUCAUACAUAGGAAUAAAAAACACUCCACAAACUUCUUUCAGUCGAAUGUUGAUUUAGAUAACAAUUGUUUUCCCACUGGUUCUAAGCACAAUACGAGGUGCGGUAGCUGAGUGGUAAAGCGCUUGGUUUCUGAACCCUGGUGAAAACUGGAAUUUUUAUUUCGGAAUCAUUUGGCACCUCUGAGUCCACCCAGCUCUAAUGGGUACCUGACAUUUGUUGGGGAAACGUAAAGGCGUUUGGUCGUUGUGCUGGCCACAUGACACCCUCUUUAACCGUAGGCCACAGAAUCAGAUGACCUUUACAUCAUCUGCCACAAAGUCUGAAAGGGGAACUUUACUUUUUUUAAGCACAAUACAUCACAUGAAUUCUUUGGAUUCUAAAUUCUAGAUUUAGAUCUAGAGAAUUGUUUAGGGCUUACAUUGUCUAAUGCUGAGUAGUAUAGUAAUCGUUUCAACGUACAUAGGUGCGGAUAUAUUCAUUUAGUUGUAUUAAUUGUUAUUCUUUAUUUUAACAAUGUCGAGAUUUUGAUCUAAGUCCUAAAACUAAAGGAAAAGAAGAUGUGUGGAAAUAAACAUAGGAAAAAAUUUAAAUAAUAUAAUAAAUACCCUUCUAAAAAAAGACAUCUAAUAAACACUCAUGGUCACUU